AGCAGCCGCGGUAAUUCCAGCUCCAAUAGCGUAUAUUAAAGUUGUUGCAGUUAAAAAGCUCGUAGUUGAAUUUCGGAAUCAAUAUGUCGGUCGUGCCUUCGGUACGUACUGGUAUCAUUGGUUUCUCCUUUCUGACGAACCAUGAUGUCAUUAAUUUGGUGUUAGUGGGGG
rnacentral:rRNA from 1 species